CCUACGGGGGGCAGCAGUGGGGAAUAUUGCACAAUGGGGGAAACCCUGAUGCAGCAACGCCGCGUGAGUGAGGAAGUAUUUCGGUAUGUAAAGCUCUAUCAGCAGGGAAUAGAAAAGAAGGUACCUGAAAAAGAAGCCCCGGCUAACUACGUGCCAGCAGCCGCGGUCAUACGUAGGAUCCGAGCAUUAUCCGGAGUGACUGGGUGUAAAGAGUUGCGUAGGUGGCAUAAUAAGUAGCUAGUGAAAUCUGGUGGCUCAACCAUUCAGACUAUUAGCUAAACUGGUAAGCUCGAGACCGUUAGGGGUAACUGGAAUUUCUAGUGUAGGAGUGAAAUCCGUAGAUAUUAGAAGGAACACCAAUAGCGUAGGCAGGUUGCUGGGACGGUUCUGACACUAAGGCACGAAAGCGUAGGGAGCAAACGGGAUUAGAUACCCUAGUAGUC
rnacentral:rRNA from 1 species